UUAGAAGGUGCAGGACACAACUCCUCAUGAUGAUCUCUGGAAGAAAAGAUGAGGGCCAACACACUGUAAACUUGUGAUUAAGGUGACAUUUUUCAGUCCAUAGACAUACAAGCUUUAUAUGUUUGCGUUCAGAACAAAUUUAUCUAUCUGGUGAUGUUUUCAGAUUGAAGAUGGGACCCACGGUUUGGCAUCUGGAAGCAUUUGUUUGAGAAAGUUUCAAGCCAUUCUGCUCUGUGUCUGAGCUGCAUGCAGUCCUUAAUUAGCAUAACAAAGGCUUCACUCUGACAGUCUGUGUGUCAGAGUGAAGUGUGUAUGUGUGUGGUCACACACACAUGAGGUUUUAAAUUACUUUAAAAAUGACCUUAAAAGUAUUUCCAUGUAUUUUAUCAAUUUUAUGUCUCUGAACCCAAGAGACUGACCUGGAGGGUUGCAGUAAAUCACCUCAUUUCAAGUACAAGUCAGUAACAGUGUUACAAACAUCAGGAAAGAAUAUACAUCUUUGAGGAAAUGUUACAUUCAACAACACAGUAGUCUCA